GUGAAUCAUCAAAUCUUUGAACGCAUAUUGCACUCCCCGGCAUUCCGGGGAGUAUGCCUGUUUCAGCAUCAGAAUCAUCCUCGAGCCCACGAGACGGACUCCUAUCUCGUAUGCCGUCUUCUGCUUGAAAAAAAAAAACUAAAAUUUAUCAUAACAAUAGGUGAUAUAGGAAAUGUUUAUUGAUGAUUCAUUAACAAUUAUUACCAAAUUCGUUACGUCGUGUUAGUUUCCUAAUUUCGUAAUUAGUUAAAAGUAAUACAAUUUUUCUUUUGAAAUCUGACCUCAAGUCAAGUAAGAAUAA
rnacentral:misc_RNA from 1 species